AGUGAACGCUGGCGGUAGGCCUAACACAUGCAAGUCGAACGGCAGCACAGGAGAGCUUGAUCUCUGGGUGGCGAGUGGCGGACGGGUGAGGAAUACAUCGGAAUCUACUCUGUCGUGGGGGAUAACGUAGGGAAACUUACGCUAAUACCGCAUACGACCUACGGGUGAAAGCAGGGGACCUUCGGGCCUUGCGCGAUUGAAUGAGCCGAUGUCGGAUUAGCUAGUUGGCGGGGUAAAGGCCCACCAAGGCGACGGUCCGUAGCUGGUCUGAGAGGAUGAGCAGCCACACUGGAACUGGGACACGGGCCAGACUCCUACGGGAGGCAGCAGUGGCGAAUAUUGAACAAUGGGCGCGAGCCUGAUCCAGCCAUACCGCGUGGGUGAAGAAGGCCUUCGGGUUGUAAAGCCCUUUUGUUGGGAAAAAAAUCCAGCUGGCUAAUACCCGGUUGGGAUGACGGUACCCAAAGAAUAAGCACCGACUAACUUCGUGCCAGCCGCCGCCGUAA
rnacentral:rRNA from 1 species